UUACGGCCACAUCCCAAAGAAACGCCGUUUCCAGUACGAUCACUGAGGUUAAGCAAUAUCGAGCCUGGUCAGUAUUCAGAUAGACGACCGCUUGGGAAUAUCAGGUACUGUA